rnacentral:rRNA from 1 species
AACGAACGCUGGCGGCAGGCCUAACACAUGCAAGUCGAGCGGAAAGGCCCUUCGGGGUACUCGAGCGGCGAACGGGUGAGUAACACGUGAGUAAUCUGCCCCUGGCUUUGGGAUAGCCACCGGAAACGGUGAUUAAUACCGGAUAUGACCACUUUACGCAUGUUUGGUGGUGGAAAGUUUUUCGGCCAGGGAUGUGCUCGCGGCCUAUCAGCUUGAUGGUGAGGUAAUGGCUCACCAUGGCUUCGACGGGUAGCCGGCCUGAGAGGGUGACCGGUCACACUGGGACUGAGACACGGCCCAGACUCCUACGGGAGGCAGCAGUGGGGAAUAUUGGACAAUGGGCGGAAGCCUGAUCCAGCAACGCCGCGCGAGGGAUGACGGCCUUCGGGUUGUAAACCUCUUUCAGUACCGACGAAGCGCAAGUGACGGUAGGUACAGAAGAAGCACCGGCCAACUACGUGCCAGCAGCCGCCGUAACAC